UUUUUUUUUUUUUUUUUUUUUUUUUUUAGAGCAUACGGAAGCUCCCAGGCUAGGGGUCGAACUGGAGCUACACUGCCAGUCUACACCACGGCCACAGCAAUGCAGGAUCUGGUCCGCAUCUGUGACCUACACCACAGCUCACACCAACGCCGGAUCCUUAACCACCACGCAAGGCCAGGCAUCGAACCCACAUCCUCAUGGAUACUUGUCAGGUUCAUUACUGCUGAGCCAAGACAGGAACUCCUACAAGUAACUCCUUUUACAGAAAAAUAUUAAUUAUGAAUAGGUCAGGGGGGAUGCCUGAAUAUGGAAGUAAUCAAAGCCGAGGAGAGAAGUAUGGGAACCGGUCAUAAGGGAUGCACCUGUCCUCACUGCCCCACCCCCAAUAUCCUGGCUUUGGGGGGUGGGUUGGGGAGAUGGAGACCUGAUUGGAGGAUUAGCUUUCACGGGGGAGACUGAGAAGCAAGGGGAGGGCUUGAGUCUGAGGAUGUGGACAGGGCAGGGAGGGAGCACAUAUUGAUGACGAGAAUGACUUGGUCGCCCUCAGCUCUGGCAUGGAUCACCCUGGAUGGAGGGAGUGCCCCAGACCAGAGUUUAGCUGCAGAAGGUUCAUUUGAAUGAACUCUCGCAAAAUAUAAAACAGGUAAAGCAGAGCUGCUAUAGCUGGAGGAGCAGGUGGGGGUGGAAUCUGGAGCUGCCCGUACCCGGCUCCUUCCUUCUGCUGAGGACACUUCCUUAAACAGAGAAGGAAAGCAGACCCAGACCACCCCCCUGAUUUUAGAGACGAGGGACCUGCUAGUCAGCCAGGGUGACACUCCCCAGGAAGGCUGUAGGAGUCUGGCACACUAGUCCCCUUCUGAGCUUAGAAUCCUUAUGUGUCAGAUGGGAGGGUCUGUGCUCAGCCAUGUGUGACACGUUCUCAGCAGCCCUUACUGUCUCCUCAUUCUCAGGGGUGCUCUCUGUACAGCUCUGCACUGCCUGUCACUUCUAUGUCACUGCUUGGAACAUUACAGCUGUUUCUGGUCCUAGGUUGCAAGUCUGGGGGCCGAUGAUAUACCAUAAAUGGGGAGUUCCCAUUGUGGCGCAGCAGAAACGAAUCUGACUAGGUUGGGGGUUCCAUCCCUUGCCUCGCUCAGUGGGUUAAGGAUCUGGCGUUGCUCUGAGCUGUGGUGUAGGUCACAGAUGCGGCUCAGAUCUGGCGUUGCUGGGGUUGUGGUGUAGGACAGCAGCUACAGCCCCUCGCCUGGGAACCUCCAUAUGCUGCAGAUUCAGCCCUAAAAAGCACACAUACACACACAGAAAGAUAUACCAGUAAGUGGGACCUUUAACCUAAUUUGGUCUGGAGAUGCUCCCUUGGGGAUGAAGGCACAGAGGUGUUAGUACCACUCCAUCAACCUGAUAAAGGGGAACAUGAUGGAUGAAUCCGGCAGCAUUCAUGAUUUUUAAAAAGUAUGCAAAUCCCAUGUGGCCUGGGUAGUUUUUUCCCUUCUAAACACAAUAAAAAUGCCACUCAAGUCCAAGCAGAGGCAGCAUUACUAGAAGGCUGUAAACUGUAACUUCUCCUUCAAGUCAGCAAUGGCUAUGAGUGGAGUUCUGUGAUGGCAGGCGAGCUGCAGGGGGAAAUUAUAGAGAGAUUUAAUUUUCUGGGGUGGCCUGACUGGUGGAAGGGAGACAAGAAUAGAUGGCAUCAAAGAGACCCAUGACAUAUCUUCUCACUCUAAACAAAGAGAUAGAGUUUUAGUUCCUAUCUUAGUUUUUAAUUUUAUAGACUCUGGUGCCAUUCAUGCUGAAAAUGUGCCAGAAAAACGUAUCAAGAGAUGAGAGAUGGAAAUGUUGAUAUUUGCCUAGUUCCUAUGUCUGUGGGACCAGCUCCUAAUAAAAACCUUGGACUUUGGGUGAAAAGACUGCACACACAUUGUUGCAUUCUGCUGCUACAGAAAGGAGCCUGUUCGAUGUGACAUCAUCUGAGAAAAGGAAAUGAAGAAUACGGGGAACCCACGCCAGCUUUUCUCCAGACCCUGCCUGCUAUCUUUUCCCUUUUAUGAUGAUUGGAAUGAACUAUAGUCCUGAGUACAACUGCCUUUCAGUCCCUGAGUCUUUCUAGUCAAUUUCCGAACAUAUGCGUGGUCUUGGGACCUUCUAAACAACAACGUAUCAAAAUUUUUGGAUGCAACCAAGGCAAUAUUUAGAGGGAAAUUUAUAGCAGUAAACAUUUAUGUUAGAAAAAAACUUCAGCUUCUUCCUUAAAAAACUAGAAAAAGAAUGGCAAGUAAAUCUGAAGUAAGGAGAAGAAAGGCAAUAAUAAAGAUCAAAGCAGCAAUCAACAGGACAGAACACAGACACACACACAUAAAAACCAGUGAAACCUGGGAGUUUCUGUCAUGGUUCAGCAGAAAUGAGUCUGAUGGGCAUCCAUGGGGAUGCAGGUUCAACCCCUGCCCUUGCUCAGUGGGUUAAGGUUCCAGUGUUGCUGUGAGCUGUGGUGUGGGUUGCAGACACAAUUUGGAUCUGGCAUUGCUGUGGCUGUGGUGUAGCCUGUGGCUGCAACUCCAAUUUGACCCCUAGCCUGGGAACUUCCAUGUGCCAUGGGUGCAGCCCUAAAAAGCAAAACAAAAGAAAACAACCCCCCCCCAGUUAAACCAAAAGUUUCAGGGCCAGAUAAGGAGCUCUAUGGAACUGUUUAAGAAAGAAAGAAUACCAAUUCUCAAUCUCUUCCAGAAAAACAAAAAGAAAUAUUUCCCCACUUAUUACAUGAAGCCAACAUUACAUUGAUUCAAAACCUAGAUGAAGAUAUUAAAAGAAAAGCUAGAGACAGAUAUCUCAC
rnacentral:lncRNA from 1 species